CCAGACUCCUACGGGAGGCAGCAGUGAGGAAUAUUGGUCAAUGGGCGGGAGCCUGAACCAGCCAAGUCGCGUGAGGGAAGACGGUCCUAUGGAUUGUAAACCUCUUUAGGCGGGGAGCAAUGCCGGGCACGCGUGCCCGGAGGGAGAGUACCCGCAGAAUAAGCAUCGGCUAACUCCGUGCCAGCAGCCGCGGUAAUACGGAGGAUGCGAGCGUUAUCCGGAUUUAUUGGGUUUAAAGGGUGCGUAGGCGGAUUUUUAAGUCAGCGGUAAAAUGUCCGGGCUCAACCCGGGCCGGCCGUUGAAACUGGGGAUCUUGAGUGGGCGAGAAGUAUGCGGAAUGCGUGGUGUAGCGGUGAAAUGCAUAGAUAUUCGGAGGAACACCGGUGGCGAAGGCGGCCAACUGGGCUUUAACUGACGCUGAGGCUCGAAAGUGUGGGGAGCAAACAGGAUUAGAUACCCCGGUAG
rnacentral:rRNA from 1 species